AUCAUCCGCGAUGGGAGCUGUGGGCGAGGGCUGCACGGCUGAGAGGGCAUUUUGCCGACCAUUUGAACCUGUGUAGGUCAUCCUACCGUAGGGACAGCGGAGGGACACGCGC
rnacentral:ncRNA from 2 species